rnacentral:rRNA from 1 species
CAAAGCUCAAAUUUAGAAAUCUGGCUCUUUCAGAGUCCGAGUUGUAAUUUGAAGAAGGUAUCUUUGGGUCUGGCUCUUGUCUAUGUUUCUUGGAACAGAACGUCACAGAGGGUGAGAAUCCCGUGCGAUGAGAUGAUCCAGGCCUAUGUAAAGUUCCUUCGAAGAGUCGAGUUGUUUGGGAAUGCAGCUCUAAGUGGGUGGUAAAUUCCAUCUAAAGCUAAAUAUUGGCGAGAGACCGAUAGCGAACAAGUACAGUGAUGGAAAGAUGAAAAGAACUUUGAAAAGAGAGUGAAAAAGUACGUGAAAUUGUUGAAAGGGAAGGGCUUGAGAUCAGACUUGGUAUUUUGUAUGUUACUUCUUCGGGGGUGGCCUCUACAGUUUAUCGGGCCAGCAUCAGUUUGGGCGGUAGGAGAAUUGCGUUGGAAUGUGGCACGGCUUCGGUUGUGUGUUAUAGCCUUCGUCGAUACUGCCAGCCUAGACUGAGGACUGCGGUUUAUACCUAGGAUGUUGGCAUAAUGAUCUUAAGUCGCCCGUCUUGAAACACGGACCCA